AUGCAUUCAGGGGUCCCGGUGAAUAAGAAUAAGAGAAUUUAGAAGUCAAAGAUUCCAUUAAAAAAUAAAAAAUUCAUGUGGUAUCUUUGAAGGGAAAUUGUGCUAAUCAAAGACAACUCUGCAGGUCGCAACUGAUUAAGAAGUAAGAAGUGUAGCUUUUGUAAUCACGACGAGACAAUCAAACACCUCAUUUUCCAAUGCAACCAUGCAUGUUCUACGUUGUCAGCCAUCCAAAUGGCGUCAAAUCUGUACCUGCCCAUAAGUCUUGCCAAUAUUCUUGGUCACUGGUUGGACGUUAUCUCAAAUAGGUUUAAAAACACUAAUAAGUGUGGGAGUGUAUGCCCAACUAUGAUCGCUUUGGCUCUGUAG
rnacentral:rRNA from 1 species